GCAUUUAAACCACAGUGCUUAGGGAAGGCCGCCUCUCAGUGGCGAUUUCUGGGCUGAAACAGAAUAUGCAGCCAGGCUCCCAAGUCUGGAAAGUUCCUUCGAAGAAGAGCGAAGAGUAGCUGCGAAGGCCCUGAGGAAGAGCAAGUCAUGAUACCUCCUUGCCUACAAGGCCUCCAUGCAGCUCAGUGCAGGCAGCUCUUCAGCCCGGCAUACUGUCUGCCCUCUCCUGCCUGGGCCUGGUUCAGGCAAAGCACUUUUCUGACUUAGGAGAAGAGGGAAGUUCUGAUCACAGCAACCAGGAAAGGCAUCACAAUGGAGCCCGAGACAAGCAGGACAGGUGAAGGGUGGAGACCGAGACAAGCAGGACAGGUGAAGGACAUCCCAAACUUUUUCCCGAGACAGUCUGUAAGCACGUGAGAGAGAAAGCGCCCUCUUCAAGGUCUGGUCACACCGAGUCCUUUUCCCUGUCCUUCAACUUCUCAGCAUCUUGGGUGUCCACAUGCACCUGCAUGUUUUCAGGCUGAUAAGGGGCUGAUGGGUGGGGUGGGGUCCUAAACCUAUGGCUUCCUGCACUGUGGUUCAAUAUGCCACAGACCGCACCACCCAGGCCAGGCCCAGGCUGGGCUUUGUCUUCACAGCAUUUACAACAGCUGGUCAUUCCCUCGCUGUGUGGCUGCUUCGUUGCCAAAUCUCCCACUGGAAGAGGUUGCCCAGGGAGCAAAGCCCCGCCCACACCCACUUUGGACUGGCAGCCUUCAGGACGAGAGGCUAAACCUGUCGUGUCAGGCCUCCUGGUUGUGCAGUGUUCCAGUGGCCCCAGGACUAAAACGCAGCCCUGUCAUGGUGCACAAUUCUCUCAGUGAACGGUGAACUGGGCACAAGGUUGCUGUUGGCAAGUGGCGCAGCUGGAACCGAAACUUAGGUGGUAGGACUCCUGACUCUAGACUUGUACCCGCUAAUUCUAAUUCUACCGUUGGAGGAUUGGAUUUACAUCUUACACUCCGCGCUGGUGACGAGAGAAGUAACAGGACACUCAUCCUCUCUGAGCUAGUCCCCUGCUCUAUGAAGCAGGAGCGACACCUGAACCAGAAGGCAGGGGAGACUCACGCAGGCAUUACGCUGAGGCGUGCAGCACGGGCUCAGCAGAGGGGACGAGGGACAGCUGGCUGCUGUCCUAGGCCAGGGCACAGUGCAGGCAGCUGACAAAGAGCUCCAUGGCUCUUCUCUGACCCCAGUCUGCAUCCUCGCCCUCUUUACCUUGAAACUUUAAGCUGACUGCAAUGGAACAGUGAAGCAUCUACACCAAACUAACCGUUUAGUUCACUCUUGAUUUAAAACAAGAAGAUCCUCCCUCCAAUCAAACACCUCCUCAAAAUCCCCUACCUAAAUGAAGUUGCUUUCUCACAUCUCUACAUCUUCAUUAAAGUAAAGACUUCCC